rnacentral:rRNA from 1 species
CUAUCAGCUUCGUUGGUGAGGUAAUGGCUUACCAAGGCGACGACGGGUAGCCGGCUCUGAGAGGGUCGACCGGCUCACACUGGGAACUGAGACACGGCCCAGAACUCCUACGGGAGGCAGCAGUGGGGAAAUAUUUGCACAAUGGGCGCAAGCCUGAUGCAGCCACCCUCCCGUGAGGGAUGACGGCCUUCGGGUUUGUAAACCUCUGUUAGCAUCGAAGAAACCAAAGUUGACGGUAGGUGCAGAAAAAGCGCCGGCUAACUACGUGCCAGCAGCCGCGGUAAUACGUAGGGCGCGAGCGUUGUCCGGAAUUUAUUGGGCGUAAAGAGCUUGUAGGCGGUUGGUCGCGUCUGCUGUGAAAGGCUGGGGCUUAACCCUGGUUUUGCAGUGGGUACGGGCUAACUAGAGUGCAGUAGGGGAGACUGGAAUUCCUGGUGUAGCGGUGGAAUGCGCAGAUAUCAGGAGGAACACCGAUGGCGAAGGCAGGUCUCUGGGCUGUAACUGACGCUGAGAAGCGAAAGCAUGGGGAGCGAACAGGAUUAGAUACCCUGGUAGUCCAUGCCGUAAACGUUGGGCACUAGGUGUGGGGGACAUUCCACGCUUUCCGCGCCGUAGCUAACGCAUUAAGUGCCCCGCCUGGGGAGUACGGCCGCAAGGCUAAAACUCAAAGAAAUUGACGGGGGCCCGCACAAGCGGCGGAGCAUGCGGAUUAAUUCGAUGCAACGCGAAGAACCUUACCAAGGCUUGACAUAUACUGGACUGCGUCAGAGAUGGCGUUUCCCUUCGGGGCUGGUAUACAGGUGGUGCAUGGUUGUCGUCAGCUCGUGUCGUGAGAUGUUGGGUUAAGUCCCGCAACGAGCGCAACCCUCGUUCUAUGUUGCCAGCACGUGAUGGUGGGGACUCAUAGGAGACUGCCGGGGUCAACUCGGAGGAAGGUGGGGAUGACGUCAAAUCAUCAUGCCCCUUAUGUCUUGGGCUUCACGCAUGCUACAAUGGCCGGUACAGAGGGUUGCGAUACUGUGAGGUGGAGCUAAUCCCUAAAAGCCGGUCUCAGUUCGGAUUGGGGUCUGCGAACUCGACCCCUUGAAGUCGGAGUCGCUAGUGAAUCGCUGAUUCAGCAAACGCUGCGGUAAAUACGUUUCCCGG